UACGGAGGAUGCAAGCGUUAUCCGGAAUGAUUGGGCGUAAAGCGUCCGCAGGUGGCUAUGUAAGUCUGCUGUUAAAGAGCAAGGCUCAACCUUGUAAAGGCAGUGGAAACUACAUGGCUAGAGUGCGUUCGGGGCAGAGGGAAUUCCUGGUGUAGCGGUGAAAUGCGUAGAGAUCAGGAAGAACACCGGUGGCGAAAGCGCUCUGCUGGGCCGCAACUGACACUAAUGGACGAAAGCUAGGGGAGCGAAUGGG
rnacentral:rRNA from 1 species